UACGUAGGGGGCAAGCGUUAUCCGGAUUUACUGGGUGUAAAGGGAGCGUAGGCGGCUUAGUAAGUCAGAAGUGAAAGCCCGCAGCUCAACUGCGGGACUGCUUUUGAAACUGCCCGGCUGGAGUGCGGGAGAGGUAAGCGGAAUUCCUAGUGUAGCGGUGAAAUGCGUAGAUAUUAGGAGGAACACCAGCGGCGAAGGCGGCUUACUGGACCGUGACUGACGUUGAGGCUCGAAAGCGUGGGGAGCAAACAGG
rnacentral:rRNA from 1 species